GUUUGAUCCUGGCUCAGAUUGAACGCUGGCGGCAUGCUUUACACAUGCAAGUCGAACGGCAGCACGGGGGCAACCCUGGUGGCGAGUGGCGAACGGGUGAGGAAUACAUCGGAACGUGUCUUUAAGUGGGGGAUAACGCAUCGAAAGGUGUGCUAAUACCGCAUAAUCUCUGAGGAGAAAAGCAGGGGAUCGCAAGACCUUGCGCUUUUAGAGCGGCCGAUGCCUGAUUAGCUUGUUGGUAAGGUAAAAGCUUACCAAGGCUUCGAUCAGUAGCUGGUNUGAGAGGACGGCCAGCCACACUGGGACUGAGACACGGCCCAGACUCCUACGGGCGGCAGCAGUGGGGAAUUUUGGACAAUGGGGGCAACCCUGAUCCAGCCAUGCCGCGUGAGUGAAGAAGGCCUUCGGGUUGUAAAGCUCUUUCAGCCGGAACGAAACGGUUACGGUUAAUACCCGUGACUAAUGACGGUACCGGAAGAAGAAGCACCGGCUAACUACGUGCCAGCAGCCGCGGUAAUAAGGGCGAAU
rnacentral:rRNA from 1 species